rnacentral:rRNA from 1 species
UACGUAGGGCGCAAGCGUUGUCCGGAAUUAUUGGGCGUAAAGAGCUCGUAGGCGGCUUGUCACGUCGGGUGUGAAAGCCCGGGGCUUAACCCCCGGGUCUGCAUUCGAUACGGGCUGGCUGGAGUGUGGUAGGGGAGAUCGGAAUUCCUGGUGUAGCGGUGAAAUGCGCAGAUAUCAGGAGGAACACCGGUGGCGAAGGCGGAUCUCUGGGCCAUUACUGACGCUGAGGAGCGAAAGCGUGGGGAGCGAACAGG